GAUGAAGAACGCAGCGAAAUGCGAUAAGUAAUGUGAAUUGCAGAAUUCAGUGAAUCAUCGAAUCUUUGAACGCACAUUGCGCCCCCUGGUAUUCCGGGGGGCAUGCCUGUCCGAGCGUCAUUGCUGCCCUCAAGCACGGCUUGUGUGUUGGGCCUCCGUCCUCCUCCCGGGGGACGGGCCCGAAAGGCAGCGGCGGCACCGCGUCCGGUCCCCGAGCGUAUGGGGCUUCGUCACCCGCUCUUGUAGGCCCGGCCGGCGCUUGCCGACACAUCAAUCUUUUUUCCAGGUUGACCUCGGAUCAGGUAGGGAUACCCGCUGAACUUAAGCAUAUCAAUAAGCGGAGGA
rnacentral:misc_RNA from 1 species